GGAGACUGCCAUCUCCUUCCUGUGGAAGGAUUACAAGCCAGAGUACUUCU
rnacentral:SRP_RNA from 1 species